CCUCUCUCUUCUGUGUGUGCAGAGUGAGAGGCCAUUUUCUGAGGCACAGUGGGCACGUAAGAGAGAAUGGAGGAGUGUGCAGCUAGCCGCGAGAGAGAGAGGGAGAGAGGGGGGGAGGCUGGGAGGCUAGUGGCAGCCCUAGAAACAGCAGCACAUUGCAGCAGAGCUGUUACCAGGCAAUGCUCUCUCUCUCUCUCCCACACAAACCCUUAUUGAAAACUAACACUUUGAAUACAUAACAGUGUGUUUCAUAAAACAUGAUGUUAUGUGUUUUAGUCUAUCCAGUAGCGUCUAAUAAUUUGGAUAUCUGAGAGCGGAGCGGUUUUUGAGCACGGAGGUGAUGGAAGCCGCUAGUCGCAGGCGAACGCCAAUCUCAGCAGCCCUCUCUGGACAUUAACAGGAAAAUUUAAAAAAUGAAAGAAAAACAACAUGAGAAUCUCUGUAGGUGGUUUGAAUCUGACCGAUUCAGACUCCUCUUUCUCCUGCGAGACAAGCUGUACUUCCAUCUUUAGGUCUGUUACCUUCACCGCUGGCUGAUGUGUCGCUCAUUACGAGGUAAUACCGGGGGAAGAGGAGCAGUCUAGGACUUGUGAAGGCGAGACAAUGCACAGCGAGUCUCCUAAAUACCAGAGGAUAGCGAUGGCUUGAGAUGACUUUAAAAAAGGUGCAAAUACGUUUUACACUCAAUCGUUUCUAAUGCCUUUCAUUUCUUGAUUCAUACACGUGAAAGACAAAGAGAAUGGAGAAUUGAAUGUGAUUGAGAGAGAGUGAUAAAGACUAGAGGACUAGAGGCUGGGGAACAGGACAAGCAACGGUCGACGACAGUUUGGCAACAUACUAACCACAGGGAUAAAGGAAGCUAGAGAGACAGUAGAGAGGAGAAGAACAUAGAGGGGAGAGUAAGGAGAGAUGUUGAGCUACAGAAAUGCAACACUCACACACACACAUAACAACCUAGUAAGUUGUCUUAUUCAUGUGACUUCGGCUCUAGCAAGAGAGGAGACCAUGGAUAAGAGAAGGAAGAGGGAACAGAGAUCGAGCGGCUUGUCGCUUGACAGAGGACGUCCGCAGUGACAUGGUGGUACUAGAGACGUCGACAAACAGCAACAUAAUUUGCACCAAAGCGUAAGAGGACAGAAACGAUUCCGGCGUCUCUCCUUCUCCAUGGCGUGGCUGCUUUCCCUCUCCUUCCAGUCGGCCGGGUUGGUCUUUCAGUCUCACUCGGUCCCUCCAAUGUUUUUCCAACGUUAUCCCCUCACCAUUGCUCAGCUUUAGCACCAUCGUCGCUGGCUCGCUCCACUUGUUCAUGCUACCACUCUGACCGCCCUUCUCUGCACCUUCUCUUCUCUCUGUCCUCACUCUCUCCUUCAGCAGCACUGCUAGAAGUUUGGAAUCGUAUUUAUGGAAGAAGAGGGGGAAAAAACAUGGCCGACGUCUCUUCUCUCCUCCAUGCAGAUGAGAUCCUUGUUGGCUCCUGCGCAGUAUCGUUCUCUUAUUAUCCCUCACUGAGCAUGUGAGCGCUGCGCACUUGCUGGAUUAACUUGAGUAACCUCUCCCUCGAUCUCUGUCUUUCACGCUCUCUUUCGCUCCUGCUUUCUCUCUCACUAGUUCGGUUUCCGUCCCUUCCUUUGCUUUCCUUCGCUCCACGUUCAUUGCAGUCAGUGUCUCUCCAACCCGUUCUGAGGCUUUUACUCUCUGGCCCUGUUGUUCACAGUCCUCCACCAGCGCUGUCUGGCACACACUCACACACACACAACCCAAAGACAAACACGGCACAACCCAAGCCGGUGCCUAGUAAAGGGAAGUUUGUUAUGUCACAUGCCCAGGAAGCACCAAUGAAAGAGAGAGGGCAGGUGGGCGUGAGAGCUAGUGAAAGCAUGUAGUUAUGACAUAGCUGUUACAUCAUCAGAAUCUCACAACCUCGCUCUCACCCUGCCCACCCGCUCGCACAGGCUGGGCGGAUGUGUCAUAGGACAGUGUGUAGACCCCUUCCCCCAUCACACACACUCUCAUUCAUCCACCCUCCUGACUACUACGCUUUCUCUCUCCCCCAGUACAGUGACACAGCAUUUCUUGCGCUUAAAGCGAACUUAACCCUCUCCAUUCUCUAGAAUAGCACACACUCUCUUGUUGUGAGCAGAUGAGCAUGUAAAACAACAACAAAAUAAGCUAACUGUGUACCACCGUGUACCACUCGCCAGUUUUUAGAACCAGAAAUGCUACAUUAUUUGACACUUGAAUACAACAUGAAUAUGAAUUCACAAUAUGAAUUUGAUUAGCCAAACCUAUUUCUAAAAAGUUGUUCUCGCUAUGUCAUAUAGACCAAAAACCAAAGUUGGAGUUCGGUGAAAUAAUCGUGAUGCUUUUAAGCAACUAGUUGGCCACUAUAUACAGCAGAUGCAUCUACUAAUAGCAGUCUACACUCCAAUUCUCCUGUCAGAACUAUACGUUUUUUUAAAUUCAUUUCUUUCCAAAAAAGUAAGCAAACAUAAUCCAUGUUAGUUACAGUAACCCUGAGGUAGUUUUAGGUUAGUGCUACUGUUUUGUGAUAGACCGCCUGGGAAGAACAGACCAGCAGGCAUCAUACCUCAGACAACAGACCUACUUAUCUAGUAUGGCAAGACCGCCACAUCCCUGAUGAGCCCUAUUGGCCCUGGUAGUCACCUAAGUACGUCAGAGUCACUUCAAAGUUGACGGCCAUGUCCGGACUCUAUUGUGGACCCAUAAAGGGCUGUUUUCUGGACACAGAUUAAAGAAUUUCCAUUGAGUUUGUUUCUAGUCCAAGACUAGGCUUAAUCUGUGUUCAGCAGUGGUGCGUAUUCAUGGAUGCCAAGGGAAGCCAGGCUUCCCAUAAAGUAACACACUCCUCCCCUCCAGCUUCCCCAGUGAUUUUACCCACGCACCCUUACUGGUGUCCAGUAAACCAGCCCUUUAUACGUAGGAUGGGGACAAACUAACAUCCACUCUUUUCAAAGUGAAAUGUGGAUGAUUUUUGAUUUAUUAGGAUCCCCAUUAGCCCAAGCCAAAGGUGACAGCUAGAUUUACUGGGGUCUGAUACAUAACGAAAAGGACUUUACAGACAAAAUACUUUACAAUUUACAUACAUUUAAAAACAUGAACAUGUAGUGUGCAUGCAUCUAUCAGUUAUCAGCUAUACAUGUCAGUACAUACACACAACAAGUAGGUCACUUGGGGGAGAGGUGUUGUGCCGUGAUGUAUUUCUGUAUUUAUUUUUUAUGAAACCAGGUUUGCUGUUCAUCUGCGCUAUAUAAGAUGGAAGGGAGUUCCAUGCACUCA